UUUGGACAUGGGGGCAACCCUGNCCAGCCAUGCCGCGUGAAGGAUGAAGGCGCUCUGCGUCGUAAACUUCUUUUACUCGGGAAAAAUUUGCCGAUUUCUAUCGGCAUUGAUUGUACUGAGAGAAUAAGGACCGGCUAACUUCGUGCCAGCAGCCGCGGUAAUACGAAGGGUCCAAGCGUUAUCCGGAUUUAUUGGGUUUAAAGGGUGCGUAGGCGGGUUGUUAAGUCAGUGGUGAAAUCUUGCAGCUUAACUGUAAAAUUGCCAUUGAUACUGACGACCUUGAGUACAUUUGAAGUGGGCGGAAUAUGUCAUGUAGAGGUGAAAUUCUUAGAGAUGACAUAGAACACCGAUUGCGAAGGCAGCUCACUAAACUGUAACUGACGCUGAGGCACGAAAGCGUGGGGAUCAAACAGGAUUAGAUACCCUGGUAGUCCACGCCCUAAACGAUGAUUACUAGAUGUGUGCAAUAUACCGUACGCGUCACAGCUAAAGCGUUAAGUAAUCCACCUGGGGAGUACGGCCGCAAGGCUGAAACUCAAAGGAAUUGACGGA
rnacentral:rRNA from 1 species